CUACGGGGCGCACCAGUGAGGAAUAUUGGACAAUGGGGGAAACCCUGAUCCAGCCAUGCCGCGUGAGUGAAGAAGGCCUUAGGGUUGUAAAGCUCUUUCAAUGGUGAAGAUAAUGACGGUAGCCAUACAAGAAGCCCCGGCUAAAUUCGUGCCAGCAGCCGCGGUAAUACGAAUGGGGCAAGCGUUGUUCGGAAUCACUGGGCUUAAAGCGUGCGUAGGCGGAUUUGCAAGUCAGACGUGAAAUCCCGGGGCUCAACCCCGGAACUGCGUUGGAAACUGCAAAUCUAGAAACCGGUAGGGGGUAAUGGAAUUCCAGGUGGAGAGGUGAAAUUCGCAGAUAUUUGGAGGAACACCAGUGGCGUAGGCGAUUAGCUGGGCCGGUAUUGACGCUGAGGUACGAAAGCGUGGGGAGCAAACAGGAUUAGAUACCCGGGUAGUC
rnacentral:rRNA from 1 species